rnacentral:rRNA from 1 species
AAGCUAUCGCUAGAGGAUGGGCCUGCGUCUGAUUAGCUAGUUGGUGGGGUAACGGCCUACCAAGGCGAUGAUCAGUAGCCGGUCUGAGAGGAUGAACGGCCACAUUGGGACUGAGAUACGGCCCAGACUCCUACGGGAGGCAGCAGUCGGGAAUAUUGCGCAAUGGAGGAAACUCUGACGCAGUGACGCCGCGUGCAGGAAGAAGGUUUUCGGAUUGUAAACUGCUUUAGACAGGGAAGAACAAAGACAGUACCUGUAGAAUAAGCUCCGGCUAACUACGUGCCAGCAGCCGCGGCAAUACGUAGGGAGCAAGCGUUAUCCGGAUUUAUUGGGUGUAAAGGGUGCGUAGACGGAGAAGCAAGUUAGUUGUGAAAUCCCUCGGCUUAACUGAGGAACUGCAACUAAAACUACUUCCCUUGAGUACUGGAGAGGAAAGUGGAAUUCCUAGUGUAGCGGUGAAAUGCGUAGAUAUUAGGAGGAACACCAGUGGCGAAGGCGACUUUCUGGACAGUAACUGACGUUGAGGCACGAAAGUGUGGGGAGCAAACAGGAUUAGAUACCCUGGUAGUCCACACCGUAAACGAUGGAUACUAGGUGUAGGGUGUGAUAAACAUUCUGUGCCGUCGCAAACGCAAUAAGUAUCCCACCUGGGGAGUACGGCCGCAAGGUUGAAACUCAAAGGAAUUGACGGGGGCCCGCACAAGCAGUGGAGUAUGUGGUUUAAUUCGACGCAACGCGAAGAACCUUACCAGGGCUUGACAUAUACAGGAAUAUAUUAGAGAUAGUAUAGCUCUUCGGAGUCUGUAUACAGGUGGUGCAUGGUUGUCGUCAGCUCGUGUCGUGAGAUGUUGGGUUAAGUCCCGCAACGAGCGCAACCCCUGUUCUUAGUUGCCAGCACGUAAUGGUGGGAACUCUAAGAAGACUGCCGGUGAUAAAUCGGAGGAAGGUGGGAACGACGUCAAAUCAUCAUGCCCUUUAUGUCCUGGGCUACACACGUACUACAAUGGCUAUUACAGAGGGAAGCGAAGCCGCGAGGUGGAGCAAAACCCAAAAAAGUAGUCUCAGUUCGGAUUGAAGGCUGAAAUUCGCCUUCAUGAAGCCGGAAUUGCUAGUAAUGGCAGGUCAGCAUACUGCCGUGAAUACGUUCCCGGGCCUUGCACACACCGCCCGUCA